rnacentral:lncRNA from 1 species
UAUCACAACAUAAAUUUAUCAUUAAUAUAUCAAAAAUAUAAUUAAAUGAUUAACUAUGAGACACAUCUUUUGUUGAAAAAAAAACAAAAAGAACCAAAAAGGAAAAAAAAAAAAAACACGGAAAAGGAAGAGAAAAGAAGAAGACACGACCAAUCCUUUCUCCGACGUAAUUGUAUGUGACUCACGACCAUGAUUAGAUUGGUGGAGAUUAAUAUACCCGUCGAUUUUGUGCAUGCUCCAAAACGAAUAUCCUGAAAAUCUUUCCCACGAGACUCAUUAGUCUCUUUAUUAUCUAAGGUAAUUUAAAAGAAUAGUUUGUUUGAUUGGUUGCAAUUGUAGGAUGCAAGAUCAUAUCAAUAUGAUGGUUUAAAGAAAAAAGAUGGCCAAUAUGAUGGUUUUCUAUGAUGAUUCAACAGAUCAAAAGGUGGUUUUCUAUCAUUAAAUUGCCAAAUUUCUGUUAUUGCUAUGAAUAUAUGUUUUAUGGUAGGGUAACAAGUUCUUAGUGGUCAUUGGAUGUUCUUGGUCGAACGAUAAACCGUCAUAAAAAAAGGUAUGUAAACUACAUUUGAGCCAAAUUUAUUUAUUUUUUUUUAUUUUUUCGUGUUUAAGAAUAUUACUAUUUUUUAAAAUGUAAAAUAUAUCGAAUUUUUAUAUUUUAGGGUCAGUUAUUUUUUUAAUUUUAAUUAAUAUUCGAAUUAAUUUAAUAGAAGGUAUUUAAGUAAUUACGCAAAAUCAAUGGCUCAACAAGAGCCGAGAGUCCGACACGUCAGCAAAAACACUUCUCAAAUAUUGUUAUUAUAGAGAAAGCUUAUAGAUUUCUCAAUACAUCCAAGCGUAAUUUAAAUAUUAAACAUGAAAGUACUAAAGUGAAAAACUCACCAUAUGUUCGAUUGAAUCAACAAUUUAAUUGUCCUGGAAUUGUUUAACGACGUUGCAUCCGUAACCUAUAACCAUACAUAAACACCAUGAAUUCAUAUGUGUAAAGCCAAAUAAAAUAAAACGCAAAAAAAAUAGAAAGCAAAAAAAAUGGGGUUAGUUAUGAUUUGAAAUUGAAACCUAGAGAAGGUAUUUAUAUUAAACUGAAAGGCGGUGUACGAUCUAAAUU